rnacentral:rRNA from 1 species
AACGAACGCUGGCGGCAUGCCUAACACAUGCAAGUCGAACGAGACCCUCGGGUCUAGUGGCGCACGGGUGCGUAACGCGUGGGAACCUGCCCUUAGGUUCGGAAUAACUCCCCGAAAGGGGUGCUAAUACCGGAUAAUGUCUUCGGACCAAAGAUUUAUCGCCUUUGGAUGGGUCCGCGUUGGAUUAGCUAGUUGGUAGGGUAAAAGCCUACCAAGGCGACGAUCCAUAGCUGGUCUGAGAGGAUGAUCAGCCACACUGGGACUGAGACACGGCCCAGACUCCUACGGGAGGCAGCAGUGGGGAAUAUUGGACAAUGGGCGAAAGCCUGAUCCAGCAAUGCCGCGUGAGUGAUGAAGGCCUUAGGGUUGUAAAGCUCUUUUACCCGGGAUGAUAAUGACAGUACCGGGAGAAUAAGCUCCGGCUAACUCCGUG